rnacentral:snRNA from 1 species
NNGCUCAGGCAGCACAUAUAAUAAAUUGGAAUCGAUACAGAGAAGAUUAGCAUGGCCCCUGCGAAAAGGAUG